CGGAUGACGCUGGUUUGGCGGUGGUACUCAUCUAAAUAACUCCUCAUGUAACUUCUAUCAGCAAUCAAAAAAGUAUGUGUCAUUAGACAAUAGCACUGGUUGAAAGAAAUACUCAACCCAUCAGCAUGCCCAUCAAUUCUUUUGUGAGCAAAGGCUCUAAAGUCCUGCGCUUGGUAACCAGGAAGAUCCGUCAACCACUGGGGAACCUCAACCUCUUUGUUCCGUUGUUCCAUUGCAACCUCUUCUUCUUGUGCAUCUAGUACAGGAGGUAUUUCGUCAACCGGGACAUCAAAGUCACAUAGUACACCCAAUAUUAUGAUACACCACAAAAUAGAAUAUUUAGAAAUUGGAAUCUAAAGCGUCAUAUCAUAUUCCCAAACUUAUGAUAUGCAAAGAAAUGGAAUAUUUUUAUAAAUGUAGAUUGGAAUCCAAGCAAGCACACACACACCACCCCGCACGCACACGGCACGCACGCCCGCCCGCGCGCACGCGCACACACACACACACACUAAAGACCACAGGAGUGUGACAAAAAUACGCCAAGCAGAAGGGUGGAGAAGACAUUUAAUGCCAAUAGAAAAGAUAUGAGCGAGUAAACAAGUUGUCAAAUUUUGCUGCUUAAUCACAAAUAUCCUAAAUGGUGUCUUUCUCUUCACUGUACUGAAUGUUUCAAGGUAACAAAAUUAGUACUUCCCUUGAAAGCUCCAAUAUUAGAAAAUCAAGCUUAUAAGGAAUCUUUAGUGGAUGGGGUCUUUGGUACAAAUAAUCAAUUAAUCACCCACCUGGAGAUGGCUGCCUAUAUGCUUCUCAGUCAAACCCUUUAUAUUCAUCAGGUGGAGGAUCCCCUCAUGCAUAUGUUAGCCACCGAAAGAAAGUAAACAGCACAUGAUCAUGUUUUAGCUAAUAAAAUAACAAAUAGUUAAUUCAGAUUUCAAGCCAUGAGUAGGUAUGAGCUAUACUUACACUCGCCCCUCAAGAAAUUCGACAGCCUCCAAGAACUUUUUAUGGAGCUCAAUGGUCCGUGUGAUUCGAUGACGCUUCUUGGCUCUUCAUAUCCGUUGCUUUCAGGAUCGGAUAAACCGUUGCUCUCUAGGAUGACCACUUCCUUGGGCUUGUGUUCCAGUGCUUUGUAAGAAAAUCUGUUGCACUCUCCCUUUACAUUUUAAGUGUACAGUACACAUCCAGUGGUAGUAGAUGCACCCUGCACCCACUUACUUUUUAAGCGCAUAGUAGCAGUAGCAGGUGCAUUAAGUUUUCUAUAUAUCAGGUUGUUUAGUAAAUGAAAAAAGUCGUUUAGUUCAGCCACAUUUCGAGAGCAGCAGAGCUGCUGCUCGUGGUGUGUGUGUUGUGCUCAUCUCCUUUCUCUAGCCGAGUGAGUGUGUGGGUGUGGAGGUGAGCUUGCAGCUCAUCUGCACAGGGAGAUGGAGGGACAACAAGUGCUAUCCGACCCGAGGUUGCCACUGCGGUUGAUUCCGUGAGAUGGCGGAUGACACUGGUUCAGCGGUGGUACUCAUCUAAAUAACUCCUCACAUAACUUCUAUCAGCAAUCAAAAAAGUAUGUUUCAUUAGACAAUAGUGCUGGUUGAAAGAAAUACUCAACCCAUCAGUAUGCCCAUUAAUUCUUUUGCGAGAAAAGGCUCUCCAGUCCUGCACUUGGUAACCAGGAAGAUCCUUCAACCACUGGGGAAACUCAACCUCUUUGUUCCAUUGUUCCAUUGCAACCUCUUCUUCUUGUGCAUCUAGUACAGGAGGUAUUUCAUCAACCGGGACAUCAGACUCCCAUAGUACACCCAAUAUUAUGAUACAUGACAAAAUGGAAUAUUUAGAGAUUGGAAUCUAAAACGCCAUAUCACAUGCCCAAACUUAUGACAUGCAACAAAUGGAAUAUUUUUAUAACUGUAGAUUGGAAUCCAAGCAAGCACUCUACACAACACACGCGCGCGCACACACACACACACACACACACACACACACACACACACACACAAGCAGAAGGGUGGAGGAGAAUUUUAAUGCCAAUAGAAAACAUACGAGUAAGUGGACAAGUUGUCAACUUGUGCUGCUUAAUCACAACUAUCUUAAAUGAUGUCUUUCUCCUCACUGUAUUAAAUGUUUCAAGGUAACAAAAUUAGUGCUUCCCCUGAAAGCUCAAAUAUCAGAAAAUCAAACUUAUAAGGAAAGCUUUACUGGAUGGGGUCUUUGGCACAAAUAAUUAAUUAAUCACCCAUUUGGAGAUGGCUGCCUAUAUGCUUCUCAGUCAAACUCUUUAUAUUCAUCAGGUGGAGGAUCCCCUCAGGCAUUUGUUAGCCACCGAAAGAAAAUAAACAGCACAUGAUCAUGUUUUAGCUAAUAAAAUAACAUAGGCUAAUUCAGAUUUCAAGCCAUGUGUAGGUACGAGCUAUAAUUACACUCGUUCCUCCCAAGAGCUACGACAGCCUCCAAGAACUUUUCAUGGAGCUCAAUGGUCCGUGUGAUCCGAGUCUACUUUUUUGGCUCUUCAUAUCCAUUGCUUUCAGGAUCGGAUAAAUUGUUUCUCUCUAGGAUAAGCACUUCCUUGGGCUUUUCAAUAGAUUAUGAAACCAUUCUAUUUUUAGUACUAUUAGGAGUUGGUCCUUGAGGCGCUGCCUUUUUAGGCAUGUGUUCUAGUGCUUUGUCAGAUAAUCUGCUGCACUCUCCCGUUACUUUGUAAGUGCACACUGCACAUCCAGUAGUAGUAGAAGCACCCUGCUGCACCCACUUACUUUUUAAGCACCUAGUAGCAGUAGCAGGCGCAUUAAGUUGUCUAUAUAUCAGGUUGUUUAGUAAAUGAAAAAAGUAGUUUAGUUCAGCCACAUUUCCAGAGCUGCUGCUCGUGGUGUGUGUGUGUGCUGUGCUCAUCUCCUUCUUCCUCUAGCCGAGUGAGUGUGUGGGUGUGGAGGUGAGCUUGCUGCAAUGCUGCUCACCUGUAUAGGGCGAUCGAGGGCCAACAAGUGGUAUCCGAGCUGAGGUUGCCAGUACGGUUGAUUCCUUGAGAUGCCAGAUGAUGCUGGUUCAGCGGUGGUGGACGAUGGCAUAGGGACGCCAACACCACCCCCAUCACGGCAGCAGCACAUCAUGGAGAGGAUCAUGUGGGAGGUUAGCAGGGCUAACUGGCUCGUCCUCGCCCACACAAACUACGGCUAGUGGGCAGUGACCACGAAGGACAAGCUCAGAGCUCGGAAGCUCUAGAAGGCCAUCGACCAGGGCAACAAGGACGAAGAAGACUGCUCGGCGCUGGAAGCAAUCAUGUCUGCUGUGCCUCCAGAGUACAGUGUGCCACUGGGGUCGAAGGACUCCGCCAAGGAAGCUUGGGACGCCCUCAAGGCCAUGCGCAUCGGGUCUGGUUGCACGAAGAAGAUGAAGGCGCAACAGCUGCGGCGGGAGUACGACACAUUGAUGUUCCACGACUGGGAGGCAGUGGAGGAUUUUCCCUCCGGCUGCAGUCACUUGUCAGUCAGCUGGCGUCAGAUGACAUCAUCAUCGACAAUGAGGAAGCAGCCUCCAAGUAUCUGCCCGCAUGCCAACCAAGUACACCCAGAUCGCACUCUUCAUCAACACGCUGAUCGACGUGUCCACCCUCACGAUUGAGGAUGUGAAUGGGCGCUUGCGGGCAGUGGACGACCCCGCAGUGGAGACUGCGACACCGGCCGGUGGCAAGCUGCUGUAGACCGAGGAGUGGGUGGCCCAGAUGUGGGAGAAGCAGUCCGGGGAAAGCUCCUGCAGCCACGGCAGCGACAGCAAGCGCUGCGCAAGCCCCUGAAGAAAAAGUAGGACAGUGAGCCCAUUGACAAGAAUGCUUGUCAGCGCUGUGGGAAGACUGGCCAUUGGGCAAAGGAGUGCAAGAACCGAAUGAGAAGAAGGCUUGCGCAGGUGGACGACAACAAGCCUACUCUCCUGAUGGAGACAUUCUGUGCGCUGCAUGACGUCGAGCUAGAAUUGGAGGCAGAGAAGGUGGUGGUGGCUACAGAGCAGAGGAAGGCACAGCAAGCCAUCCAUCUCAACGAGUCAUGCAGCCAAGUCCACCUAGGAUGAGUGGAUGACAACAUGGAGUAGAGGUGGUACUUGGACUCUGACGCCAGCAACCACAUGACCGGCUCCAGGGAUGCCUUCUCCAAGCUCGACGGCGGCGUGACAGGGUCGUGAAGUUCGGGGACGGCUUGAAGGUGGAGAUUCGAGGCCAUGGCACUGUCAUCUUCCCGUGCCAGAACAGCGAGCACCGCGCGCUGACGGAUGUGUACUACAUCCCGCAGCUACGUUUGAGUAUCGUCAGCAUCGGGCAGCUGGACGAGCGCAAGUGCAAGGUCCUGGUCAAGAGCGAGAUCCUAAGGAUUCAGGACCGGGAGUAGAGGCUACUCACCAAGGUGCAACGCUCCCGGAACCGACUCCAGCUGGUGUGCCUGGCAACAUGCCGUAUCGAGGAGCCGUGGCUGUGGCAUGCCCGGUUCGGCCACUCAGCUUCGAUGCACUUUGUCAGCUAGAGAAGAUGGUGUGCAGGCUGCCCCACAUCAAGCACGCUGGCGAGCUAUGUGACAAUUAGCUAGUGGUGAAGCAAAGGAGGCAUCCAUUUCCAAAGCGGACAAGUAUCGCACGGGGAACAUGCUAGAGCUCAUCCACAACAACCUCUGUGGGCCUAUCACGCCGGCCAAGCAAGGGCGGGCGACACUACUUCUUGCUACUCGUGGACGACUACUACCACUACAUGUGGCUGCAGCUCCUGACGAGCAAGGACGAGGCAGCAACAACGAUCAUGACGUUACAGGCGCGGUCUGAGGCAGAGUCCAGAAAGAAGCUGUGUGUGCUAAGGACAGAUUGCGGCGGCGAGUUAACGUCCAUGGACUGCGCUGCAUACUGCACGGAUCAGGAGGUGGUGCGCCAUCAUGCCGUGCCAUAUUCGCCGCAAUAGAACGGCGUGGAGUGGCAUAACCAAUCGGUGGCCUGCAUGGCUUGUAGCGCCAUGAAGACAAAGGUCAUGCCGACCGAGUUCUGGAGAGAGGUGGUGAACACAGCGGUGUUCAUCCUCAACCACGCGCCCACCAAGAGCCUGAAGGGCAUGACACCGUUCGAGGCUUGGUUCGGGAAGAAGCAUGAGGUCUCCUUCCUCACGACAUUCGGGUGCAUCGACCAUGUCAAGAAGGCGAAGCCGAACCUCACCAAGUUGGGGCAUAGGAGCACUACGCAACGCCUACCGGCUAUAUGAUUUGAGAGGAGGCAAGGUGGUGGUCUCGCCAGAUGUGUUCUACAAAAUGGCGGAGCCUGGGAUUAGAAGGAUCCAGGCAUGGGGAAGUUAGCAUCGUCGGCCGGACAUUCGUCAUUGAGCACAUGGUCAUCCAUAGAGGCGAAGAUGUUGGAGUAGAGGAGCCAGCUGUGGACGCACCUAGUCCAGCAGCUAUGGCGGCGCUGGCUGAGCUGCUAAGUCCGGCCAUGGCAAGUGCGUGCGAACAGACUCCACCAGCGACCUCGCACACGCAUCCACCACUGCACAGGGGAUUCCUCCAGCGACAUUGGUCGAGUUCACUUGUCCUCUGAGCGACAUUGACAAGUACGUGGACGCCUUCAACAACGGUGAGGAGGUGCACUUCCGCACCUUGGACAAUCUCGUCAACGACUUAGCUACACUAGGCUUGGCGAUCUGGCUACUCAGCGGUGGAGAGCUAUCCUCGUCAGCGCAGAAGAACCACCCAUGUUUGCGCAAGCCAAGCGAGAUGCCAAUUGGAGGUAGGCAAUGUUGGAGAUGAAGGCCACUGAGGACAAUGAGACAUGAGAGCUCAUUGACCCACCACCAGGCUGUCGUCCGAUUGGGCUCAAGUGGGUCUACAAGGUGAAGCAGGACAAGCACGACGCCUCGUCAAGCACAAGGCGCGCCUCAUUGUCGGCGGCUUCAUCCAAUGUGAGAGCAUCUACUUUGAGGAAGUCUUUGUGUCGGUGGCAUGCAUGGAGUCCAUCCACCUGCUACUGGCUCUAGAAGUGACCAAGGACUACCGUGUUUCACCACCUGGACAUGAAAUCGGCAUUCCUCAAUGGCGAGCUCGCGGAGACGGUCUUCGUCAAGCAAGCUCCGGGCUUCACCAUCCAAAAAGCAGAAUACAAGGUGCUACGACUAUGUAAGGCGCUCUACAUGCUGCAACAACCCCCGUGGGCGUGAACGCCAAGCUCGACGCCAUGCUGCACGCGCUUAGGUUCGCACAAUGCACAACGGAGCACAUACUCUACACGCAAUGACGGGAGAAGGAGCUCGUCGUCAGCAUGUAUGUGGAUGACCUCAUCAUCACCGGAGCACGCAUGAAGGACAUCGAUGGCUUCAAGCCCGAGAUGUUGGCUCAAUUCUGCAUGAAUGAUCUCGGCCAGCUCUCCUACCUCGGCAUCACGGUGAAACAUGGGAGUGACUUCAUCUCCAUAGGCUAGCACGCUUACGCAGAGAAGCAGGCCCGACCCUAGGGCCCAGCUUAUAUAGGGGCCCAAACAUACGUAUGCAAACAGGAAGAGAAAUCGCCGAGGGCAAUCUGUCUUCUACGUCUCGCUGCGGCCGCACGGUACUGCUCGCCCUCGCCAAUCUCGCCAUCACUUAUCGCUGUAACCCACUCGCGGGCCUCUUUCGAGUCAUGUACGGCUGUCCUCUCCCGUCCAUGCGAGAAGCCAGAAUCUGCCGAUCUUCAAUUCUCACUUGCUCAACACUUAGAUAUGUUCGUACGUGCAUCUUUCUAUUCUUCUUGUUUGAUUUAGGUGAUUGAAUAUAUUAGAUAAAUAUUAGUAACUCAUGUAGAUAUAAUUUUCGGUCUUCAAAUUGUGCAAUGUUACCUAAGAAUUGGCUCUCAACAAAGAAAGCGGAGGGAUGUAGUCUAUUCAAUCACAAAAAAGCAUUUAGAUAUGUUUUUUCCAACUCCAAGUAGUGUUAUGUCAAUGAUAAUGUUGUUCAAGAGCAGGAGUAGCAGCAAGUUGGUGAAAAUUUAAACGAAGUUGAUGUUGCCAAUGAUGAUGCAAAUCUUGAAAAUUAUUGAGCAAGAAGCUUCAAUUCAUCGAUCAUUAUUAAACAUGUCAAAGCGAGAUCAUGUUGUUUGAUUUGUUUCAUGCUUUGUAAGUGAAUUUUGAAACAUAUACAUCUAUAUACUAGAAAACACAUUAUCUUAAGGGCCUAUGAUGAUAAGGUCGUCGUAGGGUGCUUGAAAACAUAGGGCCGACCCUGCAGAGAAGAUGCUGGAGCAUGGUGGCAUGGUGGACUGCAAGUUGUGCAAGACUCCAAUGGAGGAAAGGUUGAAGUUGUCAAAGAACAACACCACGGCGAAGGUAGACACGAUGUGUUACAAGAGCAUCGUCGACGAGUUGCGGUAUCUGACUCAUACUUGGCUGGACAUCACGUUUGCGAUCGGGUAUGCCAGUCGGUUCAUGGAGGAUCCCCGUGAGCAGGGGCGGAACCCAGUGGAGGCGAAACUGGGCUCCCGCCCCCCCUUGCUUGUGUAGCUUCACUGAGCUUGACUGUUGCAUCCCAUGGCUGCUACUAUUUAAGGAUUGGAGAAGACGAACGUGCAGUAGAAAGAGAGAACAUUAAAGGGUUAUUGCUCGGUAGUCUUUCCCUUGGUGGCCCAACUAUAAGGAAUUAUGGCCUAUUAACACUUGCAACUAAGAUAAAUCUGCAUGGUCCACUGUAUAACAACAAAAAAUAGCCCCCUCUUAUACUGCUACGCUCCGCCACUGCCCGCGAGGAUCAUUGGAUUGCACUGAAGCAGCUGCUUCGCUACAUCAAGGGGACGGGUGGAUUAGGGGAUCGUCUUCCCCAAGACUGGCGGUGAAGGUGGAUUGUGGCUCACAAUCUUCAGUGAUGCACUCCCCCAAAUCGACGACGGAGGUGGCCUGUGGCUCACACGGGCGACAUUGAUGAACGAAGGAGCACCUCUGGCAUGCUCGUCUUCCUUGGUUCGGCCUUGAUUUCGUGGCAAUCACUAAAGCAGAAGGUGGUGCCAUUGUCUACGUGCGAAGUAGAGUAUGUCGCGGCGACCAUAGCGGCGUGCCAGGCUAUCUAGCUGCGUCGGCUGCUAUAUGUCGCGGCGACCAUAGCGGCGUGCCAAGCUAUCUAGCUGUGUCGGCUGCUAAGCGAGCUGACCGGUGAGGAAGUUUGUCCGCUAACUCUGAUCGUGGACAAUCAGCCUGCGAUCGACCUCGCCAAGAACCCUGUCCUCUACGACCCGAGCAAGCACAUCAACGUCAAGUUUCAUUUCCUUCGGGAUUGCGUAAAUGGAGAACAGAUCAUCCUCGAGUUCGUGUAGACCGGCCGACAGCUCGCCGACAUCCUCACCAAGCCACUCGGGCGCCUUCGGUUCUUAGAACUGAAGAACAACGUUGGCAUCGGUUCUCACUCCUUACUUUUAAAGCGCACAGUGCACAUCCAGUAGCAGUAGCUGCACCCUGCUGCACACACUUAAUUUUUUAAGUGCACAAUGCACAUCCAGCAGUAGUAGCUGCACCCUGCUGCACACACUUUUUAAGCGCACAUGUGUGUGUUGUGUGUGUGUGCGUGCGUGCGUGUGUGCGUGUGUGCAUGCGUGUGUGUGUGUGGGUGGGUGGGUGGGUGGGUGUGCGUGUGUGUGUCUGUGUGUGUGCGCGCGCACGUGCGUGUGUGUGUGUGUGGGUGGGUGGGUGUGGAGGUGUGCUUGCUACUCACCUGUACAGGGAGAUCAAUGGCCAACAUGCUUGUGUGUGCGUGCGUGCGUGGGUGUGUGUGUGUGUGUGGAGGUGUGCUUGCUACUCACCUGUACAGGGAGAUCAACGGCCAAUCAAUCUAGAACAUACUUCAUUUUUUUCCUAUCAUAUGGUAGGUGUAGAUUGAUUUAUAGGGCAGAGGAUCUGAGUUCCUCUACUUCUUUGUCAAGAAAAGUAACCCUUUUAAAUAUUAUGACAAAAAUAGAUCUAGGUCAACAUGUUUCUCCCCCAUCACCUUAAGGAAUCAUACAGACUGCAAAUAUGAUACCACAGCUAACAAAUAUAGGAAUUUUUUUUUCAGGGAAAAUAAUAAUAAUUUGAUAUAUAGGUUGCUCAGUUUUAUAAAAGAUUUCAGAUUUCUUGAAUUGAAUACUGUGCCUAUUGACUUCCUUUUUCUUCUAGAACACACUUCAUUUUUUUAGAACAAAAAUGCGGAAAAGGAAAAGGGGUUCCAAAAUGGAAUGGUUCAAGAUCCACAUGCACCUUUGAAGUUAAACUUUGCAAGCAUCUUAGAGAUGGUCAACAAGGACGCUGGGUCACCAUCCAGAACUAGCGCUGAAAGCCUUUCCAUCAUUGUGUCACCAUGGGAUUUUGAAGGCAAACUUAGAGUAUCUGUUAAGGAUGUACAGUCUGCUUUUGUAGUUGGUCAGAGGUAGCCACUCUUUAUAUUAUAUAUAAAAAAUUUAGAAAAAGACAAGGCUUCAAAAUGUGUGUAACAUGCAUGAUUAUGGGUGUGUGGCUCACACACCGGGAUCAGCAGGCCAAGCGAGGCCCAGCGGAGGGCCAUGGCCAGCCUCAGCCAGUUCCCGCGCGCCGCAAGGAGGGCACGUGCGCCCAGAGGGGUGACCUCAGCACCACCUCGAACUCCUUCACCCAGAAGGUUCGGAAUAAUUGGUAGAAUUAAGAAUUAACAGGAAAUUAAAUUAGGAUCUUGGAAUCAGGAAGAUUUGUUAAGAUAGGAGAUUGGUUUGUUUAGGAAUGGGGAGUUCAAUCGAUAAGGACUUCUCCCAUAGCUUGCUUGGAACAUAAAUCCUAUAGGGACUAUAAAUAUAGGGGAGAUGCAAUCAUUCUAAUCUUAAGCAAGAAUAGAGCUAUUACUCCUUCCCCUACCUACCUCCCUCCUCGCCGUCGCCCUCCCCUGUCCUGCGCCGCCGCCCACCUCUGCCCUAGCCCCCACCCCCUAUCCCGGGUUGGACUGUGACAGUGUGAAAUCACUUUAUUUACCUCCAGCUCUCCUCGCCGUCACUCUCCCCCGUCCUGCGCCGCCACCCACCUCUGCCCUAGCCCCCACCCCCUACCCCGGGUUGGACUGUGACAGUGUGAAAUCACUUUAUUUCAGUAGUAACUAGUAAGUUGACCUGUAUUUGGACUGGUGCACAAUAAAAGUUAGUAGAUAGAUACAAGAGAUAUGGUGACUUAAGCAAUACAUGAGAACCCAAAGUCAAGACUAUAUUUUUCUAUGCAAAAGCUUGUAACCAUGUUGCUUUCAGGGCAUCACACUCUUUCAGGUAUGAGAAAUUAGUUUUAAAGAAAAACCUAGUAUGAAACUGGGUAAAACAUACUAACAGAUACAUGCAAACCUCUAGUGUUCUAUUUCUUCCUCUUUGUUUCAGAUUUGUAUCAUCAAAUUUGACAUGCUAACUAUGGACGCAAUUUCAGAAACCACUGAGUAUCAAACUGUGAUGGCAGUAAUUGUCACAGCACCAGGUUUUGGAAUGUCCAUGGGUAUCUGUUGACUAAAGAACAUGCAGAAAAUGAGGGCAAAGGACAACAAAAUCACAUUAAAUGAAGCCCUGGCGCAUUUCGGUGUUAUUAGUUAGUAUCAUAACAUAAUAAUAUAGCAGUCCCCUGGGACAUGAAUAUAUGCCAUACCAUAUCUGUGGGCAAUCCAAAAUGACACACCAUAUUAAUUGCAAUCUAAUUCCCCCUCUCCCAACCCCCCCCCCCCCCCCCCCCCCAACCCCCACACACACACCCAAACUGGCCUGUUUACAUCUCUACGAAAACCAUGAGAAGAAGUAAAAUAGAGAGAAAUAUUUUCUAGUCCUAUAAAGAUAUACACCCGAAACACCACAACAAAUCUGCAAUCCCAGUACCAUUUGGAUAAGAGUUUCGCGAUAACAUAUAUGCUUAAACUAACUCUGGAAAGAUUAUGUUCUAUUUCAUGCAUUUGAGCAAAUCUUGCGACAGCUAAUAUUGUGGAGCCAGUACCCGUAUGGUGUAAUGCAAUCUCCAAGCAUGUUCUCUAAUUGUAUAUACCGUAUCAUUACUAGAAACAACUUGCAUUCAUCAAUCCUAGCAAAUACUAGAGAGCAUGCAUUCCAUUGAUUGUUGCAUAAGAAGUUUAUAAGGGUGUACCUCUUCAUUCUAGCUAGUUCGAAGCAUCAUCAUGACCAAAGCAAAUAUUUGCACUGCCUAGCACAUAUGAUUCCCAACCAAAGGCCCUGGAACAUGAAGGGAACACAUAUCAAUAUAUAUCUUGUCAUAAUUACAUAAAAGUAAAACAUAGUCCAACCUACCACACCACCAAUCUUCAGAGUAAAUGAAAAAGUAACAGCUGAAGGGAGACCAAUAGCAUAAUAAGCAUAAGCAAACAGGUUGAUAACCGAGCAUACUUUCUGCCAGCCACAUACUCAAGCCGCGCCUUAAAAGCAACAUGCAGAUAAUGAACACAUGUCAGCCAGGAAUAGUUAGACAGAGGAUUACUGAUAUUAUGAUUAUGGAGUGUCAUGUUAAAAUCACUGAAAGCCUGAUUCAGGAAUUACCACUCUUCUACACAACACUUGUGCCGCUCUUCUUUGGUAAAGAAAUAAAUGAUACCUAGAAAAAGCAAAACAACAAUAAUCCUAAUUUGGACUGUAUGGCUAUGGCUUAGUGGUGAAACCCUCUUACUUGUAGCAUGCAAUACCAAACAAAUUGGAUCUUUUCUUUUUCUCUUAUGACUUAUGAGAGCACUGAGCAUGUUGGAUAUGUCAUAUGUGAUCAUUUUUUACAUUAACCUGCUCAGGCGGCAUAACAAAGACAAUUAAUCUACAUGAAUUGAUGGCAUCAUAAUGAGGCAAGCAAACCAACAGGAAGACCAACUGGCCAAGUGAUCAAACAAAAUAAAAGCUAAGCAACUUUACAAUAAUUGAUGGCAUCAUAAGCAAACCAACACCAAGACCAACUGAGCAGAAGUACAAUAUGAUACAGAUGCUGCAUACUAGACAAUGCAAUUAUCCCAAACUUGAUAGCAUGCAUUGUAUUCCAUCCAUGAAGUCAUAAGUAGCAAGAAUUGGCAUCAUAAUCGAUACAUGCUUCACUACCUCUUCUUUAUUGAUGUACAUAUAACCCCCAACAUCUUGCACUAAUACUGUGAUGAUAGCUAAAAAAAGGCCCUCAGCUAGGCAAAUGAUUCCUGAAACAUAAACUGAUAGGCGUGCUGCAUCUGGAAACACUCUAAUACUGCAAAUAAACAAAAAACCAUGGGCCAAAACUAGUUAACCACAAGUUUCUUUUACCACAGAACAAAAAGGAGUGGGCACUACGAAUUUAUGCUCCUCUUACCUUAUCGCGCUGCUGAGGCCACAUGGAAUUGCAUGGACCAUCCACAUUGUGUUUAGGCUGCAACUGCAGAGUGAUCAGCCAUGUUACAGAACAACAUCAGAUCUAAAAGAUUGAUCAGUUCAAUAUAAUUUCUGAUUACUGAAAGGGAGGAGGUAUUUCAAGUUUCAUUUGCUUACCUGACUGACAAAAUAGAAGUUUCCAGUUUUGGAUCUGGAAGAAAUCCCGCUAGGAGAACCACCAUCUCAAAUGCCCAAUACUCCAAGCUGAGCUAUCUUGCAAGUCAAAUUACCAGUUCCAUGCAGAAAGUAGGUAAAGGUACACAUUACUUCUUUGCCAAACUAUAAUGUUAACAAUCAAGACUUAUUGAAAUACAAGUUUUUCACAUGGUGCCCCAUAUCAGGCUUACCAGAUCAUAAAGGUUGUUGGAAUUGCUAGCUUUAGAUAUACUUUGGCAUCCUUUAACUUUAGUGCUUCCCUUGACCAUCCAUGCCAACUUCUUCUGCCAGCUUCAGAGACUUUCACAUACACCACUAGCAAUGCCACAUUGAACCAGUAGGAUAUUGAGGUUGCCAAAGCUGCGCCUUUGUGGCCAAUGCCAAAAAUUUGAACCAGCAACCAGCAUAGCAUAACGUGAAGUAGCAAAGUAAGUCCAGAGCAAGCUACCAAUAUCUGGACAAUAUUUUGGGUCAGCAGGAAUCUGGUAAGGCACUGAAGCAAACCAUAUGCGAAAAGACCAGGAAUCAACCACUGAGCAUACAGUCUAGCUUGGAAUGAUAUCUCAGGAUUUUGACUGAGAGCGAUAAGGAUUUCACCAGCGAAGCCCAAAACAAAGGCUAGAUGAAUACCUGUAAGCAUAAAACAAUUAUAGCCCUUUGCGUGUGUGUCCCCAGCAUGUCAUAUUGUCUUGCUCCGUAUGAUUGUCCACAAAAGGUAUCCAAUGUGCUUCCCAUACCCAGCUUGACAUGGAAAAGAUGAGCACGAAUUCCAAUUAUUAAUUAAUUUACUGGUAGCACAGUAGCAUCACGCAGUAUAACACAGGCCACUGCGCAAUAAGUCAAACUCAUACGCCCCUUACUUGUUACUUCUAGUAAGUAUAAUUAUGGAGCAUGUGGAAAACUAAUUAGAGUAAUGCGAAAGUAUUUACAGAAUCCGUAAUAAUUUUGGUUACAAAUUCGUUAAAUAACUAGGUUCUACAGUGUACAUGUUCCGAUUCACAUUUCCCCAUGAUCUUCAGACUUGAUGCAUAUACCGAGUUGCACAAAUGGUUUAGUGAAGCGAGGUUACUACCGCACUUACCAGGACGCUGAAGCCAGUGACGUUGGCGAAGGAGGGCGCGAUGGAGGCCCCGGAGAGGGAGAGCUCCCUUAGCUUAGGUGUCCGGCGAACAUGACGCCAUGACGGAGACCACCUGCAGGCUGUACUGCAGCAGGCUGCACGCCACCAGCGGCGCCGCGAGCCCCACCUGCCGCCGCACCUCCGCACCCACCGCGGCGCGUGGAGCCGAGCGGGAUAGGAGGAUAGGCGGCGACGACGCCGCGCUCGCCUCGGCCGCCCCGCCGGCACUAGCGCCGCCAUUUCGCGAUGGCCUCGCGGACUCGGAAGUCGGAAGGUUUGAGAUGACGAGCAUUUUUUUAGAGAGGGUUCAGUUGACUAGCUAGGAGGCAGUUUUGUCUUGGGCUUCGGCCUGAAAUGUUUUUUUUUUGUGACUUUCGGCCUGAAAUGUUGGUGAUGGGCUAAAAUAAUAAAAUCUGCCAAACUCUGUCUACAAAUUUAUAAUUAAAAAAAUGUUUAUCUUCGUUGUUUAAAAAAACACUUUUGUUAUAUCUUGUGUUAUUAUUUUAAGAAUUACUUCUUUGCAAUCGCAUGAAAUUUUGUUUUUCCAUCAGUCACUCGCCUCCCAACACUCUUCCGCUCACAUGCCAUCCGUGCGUUGGAGACAAGAAGAAGAAGACUUGGGGUUCCAUGGGUCAAUCAUGUUAGGGUUCCGGCGGCGGCGACGACGAUGCCCUCUCUCUCUCUCUCUGUCUCUCUCACACACAUACACACACUCUUCCUCUCUUUCUCCUCAACUCCAAUGGGCUAAGAAGAGAAAGACUUGGGGAAGGCAGGCCGGUCAAGUGGUGGGGACAGCGGGAGGGCGACUUAUAGUCCUAGCGGUGGCGAAGACGGCAUGAACAAGUUGAAGCAAUGGCAUCCAUUGUCAAAGCUCGUUGUGAAAGGAGGACGAAGGUGAAGAUGGUCACCGCCUUAGGCAUACUAUCUUCCUCUGCCCUCCUAGUCCUUACCCUCACCGCCGCAGUGGAGAUGUGGACAAGAAGGGACAGAGGAAGAAAAGGGACGACAGGAGGUUGAAGAUGACUCCUGCAUUUUAAUGAUCUCUUCAUAUCACUAAGUGGAGAUCUCUCAUUCCAUUUUAAUUAUGCCAUGCGUAUCUGCAUAUGCGCCAUACAACUAAUUUUGAUUAAUUAAUGAUCUCUUCAUAUCACAAAGAUUUUCAAGGAAAAAAAUCAUAUCCGGUGAGGUUCUCCACAUUAAUUUGAGGCUAGGGUGUAAAAUAGUAAGUUAGAAAUGGUAUCAUAAAAAAAGUUACAAAGCGAUGUGAAAAUCUAUCACGGUUUUGCGUUUUUUUUUAAAAAAAAGAAAGAAAAUCGAUAAGGAUGAUCACAUACGGAGAAGGCAUCCAGUGAUGUUCCAUCGAAUCAUGGAGCUCACGAUAUAGACACACCAGUUUUUUUUCCAACCUGGGCAGGUUCAACGUAACACAGUAAUAAUAUGAAACCAAACAGUAGAGUAUAUAACGAUUAAUAAGUUCUACACCGUUUUAUGUGCCCUCGAGCACAAUUGACUUAUUUCUGUCAACGGGUUCUUAUUUCUAACAUCCAUAUUAUCAGUUGCUAUCACUUGUUGAGCCUGAUUCAGAAGAGCAUGCCAUAGUCAACCGCUGGCAUUGAAGGACUCCAAGCCCAUAACACAUCGUCUUGGGCAAUCGGGCUCACAGGGUCAUCCAUCAGAGCGUCGCCAAUAGUGGCUUCUUGAGCUACUGGUUCAUCUAAUAAGUUGACCAUCCUCGCCGACCUAAGAUCAUCAUCCCAUGCAUUAUUACCUGCUUGCAGGACCUCCAGGGCAAGGCUUUCCUGGUCUUGUGAUCCUCCAACGGCAGCUUCUUCAGUCAUUGGUUCAUCUAAUAAGUUGAUAAGCCCCACAGAUAUCAGAGCAUCAUCCCAUGGAAUGUCAUCUACUUGCUGGAGAUCCUCCAUGCCAAGGCUUUGCUGCUCUUGCGAUCCUUGAGUUACUGGUUCAUCUAUGUUAAUCAGAUCAACCGAUCUCAGAGCAUCAUUACAUGCAUUGUCAUGGAGAACCUCUAGGCCAAGGCUUUCCAGCUGGCUCAUCCGAAAUGAAUAUGCUUCCUCCCGGCCAUCAGAAGGGCCUGUCAGGUCCAGAUCAUUGCUCUCUAGGUGCGCCCAAGCAACAGAAAAAUCCAUUGAUGCAUUGUACUUCGGGUCCACAGUACCUUCAACAACAAGAAAUUAUUUUUAGUCCGAAGCAAAUUAUUGCAGGCUAGGAAUGAAACGUCACGAGAGUCAAUAAAUAAAAGAUAGAAAGGUAAGAAAGGUAUUAGAAAGGAAAACUAGUUAACAGGACACUUAAUCUUCAAGCAGAUCAGUGUUCAUGGUACCUUUAAAGAAAUUAUUUUUCCCCAUGGCGUCAUUGUUUCUGGCAUCUUCAGUAAGAUUGUUUUGUUCGACUUGAUCACUUGUUAACAGGCUGCUUGAACCGGCGUUUUCUAUGAAUGCACCAUAAACUGUCUCACCAGUCACCAGCACAAAAUUAGAUGAUAAUAAGGUAACGUAUUAGCAAAGAAAACUAGUUAACAGGAUGCUUAAUCUUCAAGAAGAUCAAUUACCACGAUACCUUUGAGCAAAUUAAUGUUCUCCAUGUGGUCAUUGUCUCUAGCAAAUUCAGUACGAUUGUUCUCUCCCACUUGAUUACUCGUUAUCAUGUUGCUUGAACCAGAGAUUUCUGUGAAUGCACCAUAACCUAUUUCACGAACACACAGAAAAGGAAAAUAAAUAGGUAAAUAAGCUCUUUUUAAAGAGAAGCCAACAGAUCAAACUGCAGUUCUAUAUAUUAAUAAAGGAGUAGAAAAGGUAAAUAAGGUAUUCGCACCACCAGCAGUUUCAGGGGCUCCAUCUGGAUCCCUUGCAUCUGUGAUAACAAUAUUGUUGUUCACAGGCCACCGAUGUUUGCCCAUGAACUGCCAACGUUUCUUUUUCUCAGAGAACACUCUACGCAGGUUAUUUUCAUACUUAUCCCACACACACAGAGACUCUGUGUCCUCAGUCUUCACAGCCGCUGUGUCCGCUGACCUUUUCUUCACCUCUGUCCACAGCCUUAAGGGAUACACUUCACCAUCUGUCUCGACUCUGGGUGUGAUGGAUUGAGAAGUGGCUUCAUCAAGCCCCAUUGGUUUGCUGCUGGCAUUCUCUUGGCACUGUCCUCCUUGCUUUGCAUUCCGGUGGCGCAAUCGAUGUUUCUAUAUUACAUUGAGGAGAAAAUUGUCAAGCAAGGGACAAAGAUAGGUCACAGUAUUAAAAGUCAAACUAAUGAUCAAUUAAUCCCCCACCUGAAGAUGGCUGCCUAUAUGCUUCGCAGUCAAACCCUUUAUAUUCAUCAGGAGGAGGAUCCCCUCAGGUGUAGCAUCUGUUAGCCACCCAAAGAAAAUAAACAGGACAUGGUCAUGUUUUAGCUAAUAAAAGAACUACUUUAGAUUUCAAGCCGUGUAUAGGUAUGAGCUAUACUUACACUCGUUCCCCCCAAGAGUUUCGACAGCCUCCAAGAACUUUUCAUGGAGCUCAAUGGUCCAUGUGAUCCGAUUCCGCUUCUUUGGCUCUUCAUGUCCAUUGAUUUCAGGAUCAGAUAAAUCAUUUCUCUCAAGGAUAAGCACUUCCUUGGGCUUUGCUGUAGAUGAUGAUGAAACCAUUCCAUUUCUGGUACUAUUAAGAGUUGGUCCUUGAACUGCUGCCUUUUUAGACUUGUGUUCCAGUGCUUGGUGCCACAGAACGCCAAAGCUUCUUCUGUCCAGUGGCUUCAGCACAUGGAAGCAUGCACCCAGGUUCAUACAUUUGGAAAGUGCCUCUUGAUCAUCACAAGAACACAUUGCUGUCAACAAGGAGGAAUAACCCUGGAACGGUGAGUUUGGGAUAGGUGAGAAAUUCUUAAAAUAAUACAGCUCUGAAUAUAAACUCUUACCGGUAAGAGGGACUUCAAGUUCAUUCAGUACGUAAUGAUGGAGCAAAUCAGAGUUUGCGGAAGUGCCUGGCGCCAUAUUGUUAAGAUUAACAUCCACCAAGACCAAAUCAAGCUCCGCUUCUUUAGCAGCCCCACCUUCAAUGAAAUCCAGGGCCGCUUCUGCUGUUUGGAAGGGGAAAACUAUGCAACGAUAAAGGUAAUAAGAUUAAAAAUUUGGAAAAUUCAUACCAGUGUAUUUAGCACUGUUCUACAAUUAAUACCACAGUGCAUGCUUUUUUAAUGUUCAUUGGUGGGAGCCUAUCGAAAUAAGUAAAGCUAGUAAAAGUCUAAUUAAAAAAUGUGUUCACACCUCCUUGAGUCCACAUAAUCCUCUACCGUACACCCAAUCUCAAGCUACACGAUAAAAUGAAACAUUCUGAAAAUGGAAUCUAAAGCGUCAUACUGUACACCAAAACAUAUGAUACGUGACAAAAUGAUACAUUUAGUAAUUGAAUCUAAAGCAUCAUACUACACAAUCAAGCAUAUGAUAUGCGACAAAAUGGAAUAUUCAGAGAUUGCAAUCUAAAGCACCAUACAUAAACCCAAACUUAUGAUACGACAAAAUGGAGUACUCAGAAAUUGGAAUCUGAAGUGUCAUACUGUACGCCCAAACUUAUGACAUACUACAAUGGAAUCCUCGGAAAUUGGAAUCCAAUGCAUCCUACUGACUACUGUAUGUCCGAACUUACUAUAUACGACAAAAUGGAAUGUUCAGAAAUCAGAAUCUAAAGCGUCACAUAGUACACCCAAACUUACUAUAGACGACAAAAUGGAAUAUUCAGAGAUUGGAACCUAAAACAUCAUAUCAUAUACCUAAAUUUAUGAUAUGCAACAAAUGCAAUAUUCUAAUAACCAUAGCUCGGAAUCAAGCAAGCAGCCAAGCACUCACAAAUAGGAAAAGAUACCAAACUUCCUUGAAACAUAAUAUGCUAUAGAAGCCCCUUGAAUAUCAUAUAGUAGGUGUAGAUUGAUUUUUAGGGCGGAUGUCAUGUGGGGCUGACACUACCAGCGUCAGCCCAGGGCUCGAGAUGCUGCCAAGGAUGCACCCAAGGAGGUGCAUGCCUCCAAGAUCCGUCCUCGGCACGUGCAGCUUCUUUCCAAAGUCCACCUUAGCCCACGCCUGGAACUGCUUGAUGAGCCUGGCUGCAGUUGUCCAUGAGCAGCAAGAAGUAGCGCCGCCUUUGGAAAUGGCUGCCUCCUCUGCUUUCUCGCCAGGCAACAGUCACACAGCUCACCAGCGUGCUCGAUGUGGGGCAACCCUCGCACCAUCUUCUCCAACCAUCCGAUCACAUCGUAGCUGAAGUACCCAAAUCACGCAUGCCAUAGCCACGGCUCCUCGGUGUGCCAUGCCGCCAAGCACACCGGCUGCUCCACCUUCAAAUCGAGCAAGUACAAGUGUACAACCAGUUACGACAGCGUUGUACAUUGGUGAGAAGACGUUCUCUCGAUACUGAAUCCUCAGCACACUGCUCUUGACGAGCACUUCGCAGACAUCUGCAGCACACAGUGUUCCUCGUUCUGGCAUCAGAAGAUGAUGAUGCCAUGGCCUCGAACCUCUACCUUCGAGCCAUCACCGAACUUCACCAACCCCGUCACGCCGCCGUCGAGAUCAAACAUGGCCUCCUUGGAGCCGGUCAUGUGAUUGCUAGCACCGGAGUCCAUGUACCACUUCUGCUCCAUGCCACCGCCCACUCGUCCAAGGUGGACUUGGGCGUGUAACUCAUCAAGGUGGAUGGCCUGCGAUACCUUCCCCUGCUUUGCAGCUACCACCUCCUCCUCUGCCUCCAACUCUAGCUCAACAUCAUGCAGCACACAGAACAUCACCAUAAAGAGAGUAGGCUCAUCGUCGUCCACCUGUGCGACAUGCGCCUCUUCCUUCUUCUCCUUCUUCGGGUUCUUGCACUCCUUGGCCCAACGGGAGUCUUCCCACAGCGCCAACAAGUAGUCUUCCCCAAGGGCUUGUCGUCGUUCUUCUUCUGCGGGGUCUUGCCGCGGCACUUGGCGUCACCACCACGGCUGGAGGAGCCUCCGCCGAACUGCUUCUCUCGCAUAUGGGCCACCCACUCGGUCAGUAGCAACUUGCCGCUGGCCUGUGUCGUAGUCGCCUCUGCGCAGUCGUCCACAGCCCGCAAGCGCCUAAUCACAUCCUCAAUUGUGAGGGUGGACAUAUCAAUCAGUGUCUCGAUGGAGAGCGUCAUCUAGGUGUACUUGGGCGACACGACGCGUAGGUACUUGGAGACUGCUUCCUCAUCGUCGAUGGUGAAACCAUGCGUCGCCAGCACUGACAAGUGACUAUAACGGGAGGGAGAAAUCCUCCACUGCCUCCCUGUCGCUGAACGCCAGCGCGUCGUACUCCUGCUGCAGCUGUUGCGCCUUGGCCUUCUUUGCGCGAUCAGACCCGAUGCGCAUGGCCUUGAGGGCAUCCCUAGCUUCCUUGGUGGAGUCCUACCCUAGUAGCUGCUGGUACUCCAUAGACACGGCAGCCAAGAUGGCCUGUAGCACUGAGCAGUCUUCUUCAUCCUCCGUGCUCUAGUUGAUGACUUUCCAGAGCCUCCGAGCUAUGAGCUUGACUUUCAUGGUCACCACCCACUCGUCAUAGUUUGUGCAUGUUAGGACCAACCAGUUAGCCUCACUAACAUCCCGCACGGCCCUACGCACGAUGAGCUCCUGGCGUGGCGGCGGAAACUUUGCUCCACCAUUCGCUGCUCAAUCCUCGCCUACCAUUGCCGGUGAUCAGCCAAGCAACAACAGCCUAGGCUCUGAUACCACUUGUUGGCCCUCCGACUCCCUACACACGUGAGCAAUUAGCUCACCAGUACCACACCACACUCACGGCUGGAGGUUGAAGAAAGGGUGAGAACAGAGAGCACACAACUACACAAGCACAGCACAAGCAGCAGCACAACUGCUCUGAAUUGUGGCAAACUGAACUACUUUUUCCAUAUACUAAACACCCUGAUAUGUACACAACUUAAUGCACCUGCUAUGUGCACUUUAAAAGUGGGAUGUGCUCCAUGCACUUAAAAAAUAAGUGUGUGCAGAAGGGUGUAGCUGCUGCUACUGCAUGUUCACUGUGCACUUAAAAAGUAAGUGUGUCCAGCAGGGUGCAGCUGCUACUACUGGAUGUGCACUGUGCACUUUAAAAGUAAGGGGUGAGUGCAGUAGAUUAUCUGCCACACGAUACCUUCAAGCAAAUUAAUGUUCUCCAUAUGGUCAUUGUCUCUAGCAAAUUCAGUGCAAUUGUUCUCUCCUGCUUGAUUAGUCAUUAACAUGUUGCUUGAACCAGAGAUUUCUGUGAAUGCACCAUAACUAUUUCACCAACACACAGAAAAGGAGGAUAAAUAGGUAAAUAAGUUCUUUUUAAAGAGAAGCCAUCAUAUUAAACUGCAGUUCUAUAUAUUAACAAAGGAGGAGUAAAAAAGGUAAAUAAGGUAUUAGCAACACAAACUAGUUAACAAGACACUUAAUCUUAGAGCAGAUCAAUGUUCAUGAUACCUUGAGGCAAAUUAGUGCUCCCCAAGUUGUUAUUGUCCCUGGUAGCUUCAGCAUAACCGUUCUGCCUGACUCGAUCACUUGUUAACAGGCUGCCUGAACCAGAGGUUCCUAAGUAUGCACGGUAAGCUAUUUCACCAGCACAAAAAAUAAACGACAAAAAGGUAAGGUAUCAGCAAGGCAGACUACUUAACAGAGCGCUUAAUCUUCAAGCAAAUCAACAUCGAUAAUACCUUCAAGCAAAUUAAUGUUCCCCACAUUGUCAAUGGCUCUGGCAGCUUCAGAAUGAUUGUUCUCUCCCACUUGACCACUUGCUAACAGGCUGCUUGAACCAGAGCUUUCUAUGGAUACACCAUAACCUAGUUCACCAGCACACAGUAAGGAGGAUAAAAUGGUAAAUAAAUAGCACGACAAACAAGUUAACAGGACGCUUAAUCUUCAAUUAUUCAUGCAGACCAAUUCUCAUGAUACCUAAGGAAAUCAAUGCUCCCCACGAUGUUAUUGUCUCUGUCAGUUUCGGCACGAUUAUUCUCUCCCACUUGAUCACUUGUAAAGCUGCUUGAACCAGAUAUUUCUAUGGAUGCACCGUUCAAGCAUAACCAUUCUGCCUGACUCGAUCACCUGGUAGCUUCAUUUGGAUCCCCUUCAUCUGUGAUAGCAAUAUUGUUCUUCCCAGGCCAGUGAUGUUCACUCAUGAUUUGCCAACAUUUCUUUGUCUCAGAGAAUAUUCUCUGCAGGUUAUUUUCAUACUUAUCCCACACACACACAGACUACGUGUCCUCUCUAUAGUUCCAGAUGUGCAUGUGUACAUGUCAGUCUUCAGAGCCGCUGUGUCCACUGACCUUUUCUUCAUCUUUGUCCACAGCCUUAAGGGGUACACUUCCCCGUCUAUCUCAACUCUGGGUGUGAUGGAUUCAGAAGUGGCUUCAUCAUGCGCUGAUAUCAUCAGCUCAGGAAUUGGAUUUCUGCUGGCAUUCUCUUGGCGCUGUCCUCCUUGCUUUGCAUUUCGGUGGCGCAAUUGAUGUUUCUAUAUCACAUUUGAGGAGAAAUUGUCUAGAAAGGGACAACGUUAGGUCACAGUAUUAAAGGUCAAACUAAUACAGCAAUUUAAAGUGGCAUUUUAGCAAAAAGAACACCAUAUGAGAUCAGUUCAGCCAUAGGUGUCAAGAGCUAAAUGGAAUUCAAAGAGGUGAAUAGUUUAAGGUCCUUGGGGUACCAAGGGAAGGGUAACAUAAGGUUAAGACCAUCCCUCACCCACACACACACAUAAAAAGGUUAAGGCAUGUUAUCAGCCAGAUGAAGCUAGAAACAGGAAGGACGGGUGCUGAUUUUUCAGAUUCCACCAAUAAAUUACCAGAAUGCAUAUAGAUCCCACAAGGGUAAAACACACACACAAACACACAGAAGUGCCAACAAAAAUGCUUUGAACUAAUGGAUACUAAAGACGAUGGAAGUGUGACACACACACACAUGCCAACAAAAAUGCUUUGAACUAAUGGAUACUAAAGACCACGGAAGUGUGAGACAAAAAUACGCCAAACAGAGGGUGGAGAAGACUUUUAAUGCCAAUAGAAAAGAUACGAGCGAGCGAACAAGUUGUCAACUUGUGCUGCUUAAUCACAACUAUCCUAAAUGAUGUCUUUCUCUUCAUUGUUUUGAAUGUUUCAAGGUAACAAAAUUAGUGCUUCCCUUGAAGGCUCCAAUAUUAGAAAUCAAGCUUAUAAGGAAGCUUUAGUGGAUGGGGCCUUCGGUAAAAAUAAUCAAUUAAUCACCCACUUGGAGAUGGCCGUCUAUAUGCUUCGCAGUUAAACCCUAUAUAUUCAUCAGGUAGAGGAUCCCCUCAGGUGUAGCAUCUGUCAGCUACCCAAAGAUAAUAAACAGCGCAUGGUCAUGUUUUAGCUAAUAAAAUAACAAAUAGCUAAUUCAGAUUUGAAGCCAUGUGUAGGUAUGAGCUAUACUUACACUCAUCCCCCCAAGAGCUUCGACAGCCUCCAAGGACUUUUCAUGUAGCUCAAUGGUCCAUGUGAUCCGAUUCCACUUCUUUGGCUCUUCAUAUCCAUUGCUUUCAGGAUUGGAUAAAUCGUUUCUCUCUAGGAUAAGCACUUCCUUGGGCUUUUCAGCAGAUGAUGAAACCAUUCAAUUUUUGUAACUAUUAGGAGUUGGUCCUUGAGGUGCUGCCUUUUUAGACUUGUGUUCUAGUGCUUGGUGCCACAGAAUGCUGAAGCUUCUUCUGUCUAGUGGCUUCAGCACAUGGAAGCAUGCUCCCAUGUUCAUACAUUUGUAAAGUGCCUCUUCAUCGUCACUAGAACACAUAGCUGUCAACAAAAAGGAAUAACCCUGGAACAGAGAGUAUAUGGGAUAGAUGAGAAAUUCUUAAAAUAAUAGAGCUCUGAAUAUAAACUCUUAUCAGUAAGAGGGACUUGAAGUUGAUUCAGUAUGCAAUAAUGGAGCAGAUCAGAGUUUGCUGAAGUGCCUGGUGCCAUAUUGUUAAGAUUAACCUCCACCAAUACCAAAUCAAGCUCCGCUUCUUUAGCAGCCCCACGUUUUACGAAAUCCAGGGCCACUCCUACUGUUUGGAAGGGGAAAACUAUGCAGCGAUAAAGGUAAUAAAAUUAAAAUAUUUGGGAAAUUCAUACCACAGUGUAUGUAGCACUGUUCUACAAUUAAUGGACACUACACUUGACAAAUAGGCCCAACACAUAAUUUUGAAUUAGACUCCUAAGCAUAUGAUACAUUCAGAAAUUGAACUUAAACUGUCAUACUAUACAAUCAAGCAUAUGAUACAUGACAAAAUGUUAUAUUCAGAGAUUGAAAUCUAAAGCACCAUACCAUAAACCCAAACUUAUGAUAUACGACAAACUGGAAUACUCAGAAAUUGGAAUCAAAGUGUCAUACUCUACGCCCAAACUUAUGAUUUAUGACAAAAUAGAAUCCUCAGAAAUUGGAAUCCAAUGCAUCCUACUAUACAUUCAAACUUAUUAUAUACAAGAUAAUGGAAUAUUCAGAAAUCAGAAUCUAAAGCGUUACAUAGUACAACCAAACUUACAAUACACGACAGAAUGGAAUAUUCAGAGAUUGGAAUCUAAAGCGUCAUAUCAUAUACCUAAAUUUAUGAUAUGGAACAAAUGGAAUAUUCAGAUAACUGUAGAUCGGAAUCAAAGCAAGCACUCACAAAUAGGAAAAGACACCAAACAUCCUUGAAACAUAAUAUGCUACAAAGGACCCUUGAAUAUCAUAUAGUAGGUGUAGAUUAAUUUUUAGGUCUGAGGAUCUGAGUUCCUCUACUUCUUUGUCAAGAGAAGGAAUCAUUUAAAUAUUGUCAAAAUAGAUCUAGGUCAACAUGUUUCUCCCCCAUCAGCUUCAGGAAUCAUACAGACUGCAAAUAUGAUACCACAGCUAACAUAUAUAGGAAUUCUUUUUUCAGGGAAAAUAAAAAGAGUUAGUUCGAUAUACAGGUUCCUCAGUUUUAUAAAAGAUUUCAGAUAUCUUGAAAUGAAUAUUGUGCCUAUUGACUUCCUUUUUCCCUCUAGAACACACUCCAUUUUUUAGAACAAAAAUGCAGAAAAGGAAAAGGGGUUCCAAAAUGGAAUGCUUUAAGAUCGACAUUCACCUUUGAAGUUAAAUUUUGCGAGCGUCUCAGAGAUGGUCGACAAGGAUGUUGGGUCACUAUCCAGAACCAGCGCUGAAAGCCUUUCCAUCAUUCUGUCACGAAGGUAUUUUGAAGGCGAACUUUUGACUAUUAAGGAGUGCAAUCUGCUUUCUGGUGUGAGAUCUUCAUGGGGCAGAGGUAGGCACUCUUUAUAUAAUAAUAAAUUUAGAAAAAGACAGAAUUAAAAUCUGUGAAAUCUCUUUAUUUCAAUGGUAAGUUGACCCGUAUUUGGACUGGUGCACAAGAAAAUCACAUUAAAUGAAGCCUCGGCCCUCAACCUCCAUGCACAGGUGAGCAAUCAGCUCACCAGCACCACACCACACUCACUCAUGCCAAGAGGUACAAGAAAGGGUGAGAACACAGUGCGCACACACACACAACCCAAGCAGCAGCUAUGCAGCUCUGAAUAUGCAGCAAACUGAACUGUUUUUUUCCAUUACUAAACAAGCUGAUAUAUACACAACUCUUAAUCAACUACAGCUACACCUGCUACUGCUACAGAGUGAACUGUACACUUUAAAAGUUGCUGCUGCACAGAGUCAGUGGACUGUACACUUUAAAAGUUGCUACGCAGAAGGCCCCUUUUAAAGUGUAUAGUGGAGUGUGCAGCUGCUGCAAAAGGCUGGAGAGUGCAGCAGAUUAUCUCACAAACACACUUCAUUUUUUUAGAAAAAAAUGCAGAGAAGGAAAAGGGGUUCCAAAAUGGAAUGCUUCAAGAUCUGCAUGCACCUCAGAAGCUCAACUUUGCAAGCGUCUCCGAGAUGGUCGACAAGGAUGCUGGGUCACCAUCCAGAACCAGCGCGGAAAGCCUUUCCAUCACUGUGCCAACAUGGGAUUUCAAAGCAAACUUGGAGUAUUUGACUAUUUGUUAAGGAUGUACAGUCUGCUUUCUGGUGUGAGACCUUCGUAGUUGGUCAGAGGUAAGCACUCUAUAUAAAAAAAGAAAAAGACGAGGCAUCAAAAUGUGUGAAAUCGCUUUAUUUCAAUGGUAAGUUGACCUGUAUCUGGACUGGUGCACAAUAAAAGUUAGUAGACAGAUACAAGAGAUAUGGUGACUUAAGCAAUACAUGAGAACCCAAAGUCAAGACUGGUAGGCACUCUAUGCAAAAGCUUGUAUUUGAAAAGUAGUUCGUGUGUGUGUGUGGGGGGGGGGGGGGGGGGUGCGUGUGCGCGCAUGUGUGUGCUCAUCUCCUACCUCUAGCUGAGUGAGUGUGUGGGUGUGGAGGUGUGCUUGCUGCUCACCUGUA
rnacentral:lncRNA from 1 species